rnacentral:tRNA from 1 species
AUGAUUAUGUAGCUUAAUGGUUAUAGCAUUUGGCUUUCAACCAUUAAGUCACAAGUUCAAUUCAUAUUUCUCUU